rnacentral:rRNA from 1 species
UGGGGAAUUUUGGACAAUGGGCGCAAGCCUGAUCCAGCCAUUCCGCGUGCAGGAUGAAGGCCCUCGGGUUGUAAACUGCUUUUGUACAGAACGAAAAGGCUCUGGUUAAUACCUGGGGCUCAUGACGGUACUGUAAGAAUAAGCACCGGCUAACUACGUG